GACGAACGCUGGCGGCGUGCCUAAUACAUGCAAGUUGAGCGCUGAAGGUUGGUACUUGUACCAACUGGAUGAGCAGCGAACGGGUGAGUAACGCGUGGGGAAUCUGCCUUUGAGCGGGGGACAACAUUUGGAAACGAAUGCUAAUACCGCAUAAAAACUUUAAACACAAGUUUUAAGUUUGAAAGAUGCAAUUGCAUCACUCAAAGAUGAUCCCGCGUUGUAUUAGCUAGUUGGUGAGGUAAAGGCUCACCAAGGCGAUGAUACAUAGCCGACCUGAGAGGGUGAUCGGCCAAAUUGGGAACGAGACACGGCCCAAACUCCUACGGGAGGCAGCAGUAGGGAAUCUUCGGCAAUGGACGAAAGUCUGAACGAGCAACGCCGCGUGAGUGAAGAAGGUUUUCGGAUCGUAAAACUCUGUUGGUAGAGAAGAACGUUGGUGAGAGUGGAAAGCUCAUCAAGUGACGGUAACUAACCAGAAAGGGACGGCUAACUACGUG
rnacentral:rRNA from 1 species